CGGAAUUCGCUUGGAUUCGCGGUGUGUCGGUCGGUUCACGAUUCCGUCGUUUGCUUGAUCACGUCACUGGGCAACUCGCGCGCACACAUACGCGCGCCACUCGUCGUCGUCGUCGUCGUCGUCGUCGUCGCAACACCACCACCGUAGUACGUACUCGUCCGCCGCGCGACUCCCGACGACGACUUAACAAUUCUCCUAUCCUAUCGCACAUUAUCUAUAUCCUACAUGCGCACCGUACAUGUUAUACGCGCGCACACGUACACACGUACACGUUAAACUCCGGCCGCGUAUCCCCCUAACGUUACGUUUCACCUAUAACCGUACGUUACCGCACACACAUCUGCGUACAACGCGGUAGCGCUCAGCUUCGCUCAACUCAACCGACUCAGACCCGUUCGUUCGUUCGUUCGCUCGCUCGCGCGCGCGCACACUAUUCCGUCCAUGCCGUAUUUUACACGGUGUCGUGUGGGUUUUAACAUUGAGGUAUCGGAUGGUGUGUGGGUGUGAGUAUAGGUUUGGUAUUUUGUAAGUAAGUGUGCGGUAUACGUCGUCUUCUGCGUUAAUACUAUGCGUUUUCCGUAGUUCGGUGGGCAGGCAGCUAGCUAGCUCGCUCGCUCACCAGUGGUGGUGAUGCUGCUGCUGAUGCUGCUGUUACUGCUGAACAAAGCCCAGAAGGUGACUUAUCGCUGUGAACCGCGUCGGACUCCGGAGGCGCUACGGUCGUCCUGCUUGCGAGGUGACGGAACGGAAGCGGUGCUCUCGGCCUUACCGUGGCGACGACGACGACGAGCGACGACGACGAGCAGCAGCAGCAGCAACCCGCUUAUACCGACCACGAAGACCACGGCGUAGAUCGUUCGACGAGUACUCUCACCCCGGUGCGACGCGGAGCGGUCAGAGAUCCUCGUUUGUGUUCCAGGUGUCGCGCGAUUGGCGGCGAUAAAGAAAAUAAGUACGCCCCGUCGGAUCGAUCUCUAUCCGACGUCGGUCGAGAUCCGCUGAAAAAUUUUCGUUUUCGUUUGUUUUUUCUGUUUUCUCUUUUUUUUUCUUCUCUUUUCACUCCCUUCGCAUCGCGAUACGAAGGACACCGCGAUACCGCUUCUCGUCGAUGCGUCGUAUACCCUCCCGAUGGCGCGCGCGGGCCGUACUUAUUGAAAUCAAAAUCCCGACUCAAAAGGCGAUACUCUGAUUUCAACCUCAAUUGACGCCAUAUUCGAGUAAACUUAUCGCCGGUACUCUACUACCGGCGGACCGACGACGCGGCACCGAACGAACAGAAUAUCUCGAGUGCCCGACUCUAAUGUCGGUCCGACCUAUCCCAAUUAGAGCAAACGUCCUUGAGGUGACUAACACCGUCCAACGUGACGGAGAGAAGUUUGACUCCAUCGGAUAAAGGACGGAGCUACUGAGAAAGCCCGCGCGCGGUCGCCAGCCCGCAUCAGGUUCUCUCUGUACGAGGGUACGAUGCAUAUGGUACGUACUACCGAUGGGUAUGCGCGAGUCAGGUAUAGGUAUAAACGGUCCGGUUCAUUUGGAUUUAUCAAUGUGGGGCCCCCACACGUUCCGCUGAUCGCCCAGCGUACGACGCGCUCACCUCGUUGUUCCGCCGAUUGGCGAGACUCGGAUCCCGCUGUAUACACACACACGAACCGCUCCACGUGUCUCGUUAUAAGGGUCGAAGGUAUCGUUCGCCCGUUCGACGGAUGACGCGAUGCACUCGCAUCUUCGAAACACCUACGCCUCGUUCGGACGGAAGCGUCGAACGGCCUUGGACUUUUCGAAGAUCGCGGCCGGUAGCCGUCGACCGCGUGUCUUCGAAUUCAUUGAAAAUUUUACCCAUUAAAAUAACGUGGAAACGGAGCGUAUGAUAUCGGUGUAAACGUAUACCGUAUAACAGCCUUGUCGACCAUCCAGAGCCGCAAGUUCGUGUAUUAUUAUUAUGCACAUGCCUAAUACGAAAGAAGGCGAUAACGUUUUCAGACACGCGCGAAUGCGGUCCGCGCGAAUGGUAUCGUCGCAUGACCUUUUAAAACAGUUGCAAAUAUUGUCGAUAAAAACGACGAUCGGAUCCGAAUGGCGAUCGCCGGUUUACCUGCCGCUUCGCUAUACCCCGUCUAUGAAUUGACGUUCAAAUAUUCGAAGGCCUCAUCGAUUAUUUAGCGCGUGCAUAACAAAUUCUAUUCCCCCCCCCUCCCCUCCCCUCCCUUCCCCCAACACCGCCACCCCCCCUCCAUCUUCUAUCCUCUCCUCGAACCGUCGGGUUACGAUAUACUUACGGUUGACGACGAAGAAUUCUAUGUAUACGUGCGGAAGGUAAUCAAUUUCCAUUCAUAAUAUCAGGUUCAUUGUCACGUACGUACGUACGUACGUAUACGUCGCGUUGCAACAUAGGUAUUUGUGAAAAUGCAUCACUCGAUUCGCAAACGUCGCACGAGAAAAGCGUGAGAUAAUCCAUUGCGGUAAACUGAAAUAAUAAAUGAGGAAAGAAAA